GCCAUUCCUUCAUCUCCAUACCAAAAUAACAGCUUCAAUAGAAGGUCAUUAUGGCCAUGAAUCAUCAUACUAUUUGACAUAUUUUCACUAAUUUUUUAGAUCAAGCAUCUGCAAACCACGACUGCAUUUGGUCUUUAUUAAAAUUUCAACGAGAAAGAAAAAGAUACCAUAUUUUUAGCAACUUUUUAUGCAUUAGGAGGUAUUGAAGAAACGUUGAAGAUUUCAUAGGAUAAAGUUCUCUUAAGAUUCUUAGCAUAUUUUGAUGCAUUAUUAGUUACUGGAUUUAGAUAUUCUCAGUUUCCAUUGUUAGUUGUACAUGUAUUAAUUAAUUGAUCUUCCAUACCUUUCUCUUAGGUAUGGGAACCUGAUUUUAGUUGCAGGCGGCAUAGGAAUUUCGCCUUUCCUUGCUAUCUUGAGCGAUAUUCUCCACCUUAUCGACGAUGGUAAGCCAUGUCUGCCAAGAAAUGUGUUGAUACUUGGGACGUGAAAACAUCAAAAGAGUUUCACUUCUUCAGAGAGUCGAUAUGAGGUCUAUCCAUCCAUUUUUUUCUGAUGCACUGAACAUUGAGAUUCAAACUAUGUUACUCGACAAACAGAGACCUCAUUGGUAAUUGCACUCAUCUUUUCAUUCUAACAUUACUGUUUCUUCAUUUUUCAAUUGAUUGAUUCAAUGUGUUAAUUGCAGGAAGAGGGUCAUGUUGUAGAACCUAUUAAUUCUUCUAUCUUCCCUGCCUCCGGGAUGGGUGGAAUGUCUGUGUUGGUUGGUACUGGAAACAUCAUUUGGUCAGGAUUAUACGUUAUAAUGUCUACUUUGGGUUUGAUAACUACUGUCUAUCUUUUGAAUAUCCUGUACAUAAAUCCUCAUAACAUACAUUCUUGGUGGCACAAGGGGCUUUUAUUCAUUGCUUGCAUGACCACGAGUGUCGUCCUUUUUGUGGGUCUUGCAAUUGGUGGUUUAUGGCAUAUGUGGGAAAGAAAACUUCAUACAAGAAGGAAUGUGAGAACAUCACAAAGACUAGCGGCUUUGAACAUCCGAAAGAGAAUGAUAAAUAAGAAUUCUGGGCAGGAACAAUAUCUCAACAUUAUUCGGUAUGGUCAAAGACCCGAAUUCAGUGGUACAUACCCAAAUCUGUCCCUUUUUUUGGGUUUACUUUCAUUAUCCUCUUUUCUUGAUGAUGAAGGUACCCUUCCUGCCCAAUCCUGUCCAACGAAUUCAUGUUUUAAGACAGUGCUUGAGACUUAAGAUUGCAAUUUUUUUCGCCCUACUUCUCACCUCUAUGCUGCAGAAAUUUUUGGGUAGAUGGCAGAGCGUUGGGAAAUGUGGACAUUGGUGUAAUUGUUUGUUGCCCUCCAACACUUAGUUGCUAAAGAGUGCAGGACACAGAAUCUCAAUGGACUAAACAACCAAUCAGUGCUCCAUUUCUCUACUCUACGUGUUGUUCCAUGUAGUUUACAUAUCAUCUUUUACAUUGUAAUUACUUGUAUAAGUUGCAUCAAUUUUUAUAAUUUCUGUGGUCAAGUCAUGUUUUUUCCAUAAUGAGAACUAUGUUAGUUAAAUAACUAUAUUUUGAAGCAUAAGCACUAAAGGUACCUUUUAAUGACUUGUUUGACAGGACAUUUCAAAAGUCAAAAAACUAAAACGUUUCUUUUGAACUGUUUAGAUUAUUUUACAGAAAUGUUGUGUCUUGCUAGAAGAGCUUAAAGGAAGUUGUUAUAAGGUAGCUUUCUUAAAUUUUUCUACAAGAAGCAAAAGUAGAAGUCAUAUUAAAAAAAUCCUAAGUGAUACCUCUAGCAGUAGGUUACCGCCGCAUUGCUUAGCAUGAGGGGGGUAAAUGUGGAAGCAAAUGCAGCGGCGGAUCCUCCACUGCAUGCGAUGGAGACGAGGCAAACAGUUGUGGUGGUGCACAAGAGUCCUCUACUCUAUUUUUAUUUUUAUUAUUUAUUUAUUUAUUUUUAUUUUUACAAAUUUACCUCAUUCAUAUCAAGUCGUGCAAGAUCAUCAUUGUAAUUAUGCGACUCCUCGUAAAGGGACAAACUAAAUUAGGAAAAAAAAAAUGGGUUGAUCACACUUGAGCCACAUUAUGGCUAUAAGGCUAGCAAGAGCAUUAGUGCAAGCAAAAGAGAGGCACUCCAAAAUUGCCAAGCAUUUAACGACAUAAAGGCGAAAGCUGCACCAUCAAAUUUCUCUGAAUAAAGUCACAACACUUCGUCUUCCUAAUUUCCAUGCGAAUCAAAAUCAAAAGAAGGCUAAUGUAACUUUCCAUCCAUGCGAAUCAAAAUCCAUCACAAAUCUUGACUAAAAAUAAGCUUAUCCAUACAAAUAUAUUCGAGAUAUAUAAAAAUCUGAAAUUAUAAAAUUGCGUGAAUUUGUGUGCACGUGCAAGAGAGAGAUAAAGAGGGAUGAGGGGAGCCAGGGAAGAGGCAGUGCAUGGAAAGGGCAGCACCACCCAAAAUGGAUGUUGACUGGUCCAUUCCAUGCUCCGUCUCGUCCCCGUCUCCUCACACUCCUAUUACUUACCUUGAUGAUGUGUGAUCAUAAUCUCGACUCUUAAGGUGUUAUCAGUAUGAUUUUGAUCUAAAGUUUUACGAAACGACAUGAAUUUAAAGAUGUAAGACAAAAAAGUUGUUCGACA
rnacentral:lncRNA from 1 species